AUUGAACGCUGGCGGCAGGCCUAACACAUGCAAGUCGAACGAGUGGCGGACGGGUGAGUAAUGUCUGGGAAACUGCCUGAUGGAGGGGUAUCACUACUGGAAACGGUAGCUAAUACCGCAUACCAUCGGAUGUGCCCAGUUGGGAUUAGCUAGUAGGUGGGGUAAAGGCUCACCUAGGCGACGCUCCCGAGCUGGUCUGAGAGGAUGACCUGCCACACGGGAACUGAGACACGGUCCAUACUCCUACGGGAGGCAGCAGGGGGGAAUAUUGCACAAUGGGCGCAAGCCUGAUGCAGCCAUGCCGCGUGUAUGAAGAAGGCCUUCGGGUUGUAAAGUACUUUCAGCGGGGUAGCGUUACCCGCAGAAGAAGCACCGGCUAACUCCGUGCCAGCAGCCGCGGUAAUAC
rnacentral:rRNA from 1 species